GGCGAGGCGGAGGGGUCAAUUCAGAACGAGGCCGAGCCGGCCCACGUGAGGCGCAUCCCCAGGCGGCCAUCUUGGAUGUGGGCAGAGCCCCUCGGCGCUGCCUCCCUCGUUGUCAGCUCCCUCGCCUUCCACUCCUUCCUGCCCAAGCUGUUUCUGUGAAGCGUCCCAGCAAUGACCUUGGUUCUGCUGCACCUCGGGCUUGGAUCGGCCUCUCUGGCUGAACUCUAAGGGGAAAGAAUUCCUUUCCCAGCCAGCUCAGGUGAUCAGUCCCAGUCUAAUGGAGUAUCAUCAACACUCACACCGAAUCCCCCAAUACCAUUCACUUCCAGGUGCAAGUCAUUUAACAUCUGUCAGCAGCUACCUUUCUGAGAGACAGAUGCAGCAAGCAGCAUUGAACCUGGCUUCAGCGACACAGAGGGUGCCCGUUCCAUUAAUUUCUCUAUGAAAAUGUACUGAGGACUAUAAUAAGUAACAGUCACAGGCACACAAGAGUUACCAGAAUGGGUCAUACCAUUGGUUCAUCAAAUCCAGCAUCCAAGGCUUCAAAGGAAAAUGGGGCCACUGCAGGAAAACAUGGUCAGUUGUGUGGAGUGUCACACAUGGAGAAAGUUCUUUACUGAGCCCUGUAACGAUUAGCUUUUGCCCUGGAACAUGAAAUAUUUCUCUUUCACAGCCUGUAAAACUAAUUAUUACUGACCAUAAAAUUACCCAGCCCUUAUAAAAUCCAGCCACUGUAUUUAGCUGUUGCUUAUUAGUUACAUCAUGGUUCUGCCUAUAACUAUAAACUGGUACAGCACAAAAAUCUGCCUUCUCUCAAGUCUCCGGUAAGGAAGAGAAUAUUUCUCUAGGAAACAUCAUUAAUACCCAACACUUAUCUAGUUAUUUUUCCUCUUGUCAAAGCGUUUAUAAACACUGAUUUAUCCUCAACACCCACACCGAGGUAAGACUCUUCCAGUUUAUUGGGGAAAAUAGCAACAAGGCUGACUGAUGGGCUGUCUCUAUGAAAAAAACCUGAUAUCACCUAGCCAAUCAAUGAACUGCACUCGGCUUGCAAGGAUACAAGAACCACAGGGAGAGUCCUCAGGUCCCUAGAUAGCCAACCUGCUUAAAGAACCAAUUAUCCCCAUUUUUUUGAGGAAAUGCUCCAUAGAUCGGAGAACUGACCAAACCAAGUCCACAUGAGAAAUGGAGAAGCAGCAGCACCCAGAGGUCCCCAGCUGGGGCCCUGUUUGGGUCAGCCACUAUAGGUAAAUGGUCAGAUAGUCCUUGCCCUGAAGAGUGUCCAGUCUAAACAAAGGGUAGGAGAGAGGCAGGCUUAUCUCCAUUUAACACUGGGGGAACUGAGGCAUGGAGAGAUUAAGUGACUAGCCCAAGAUCGUACAAGAAGCCUACACCAAAGCCAGGAACUGAACCCAUAUCUUCCGAGUCCCAAUCCAGUGCUUUAACCACAAGACCAUCCUUUCUUUUCCCCUUCCUCUCUGGCACUGGGCUGCUGAAUGAAGACAUCAGCCAACAAAGCUUACCCUGCGGACACAGAGACAGGUUUGACUCUGCCAAGGGACUAUCGAGGUAACCUGCUAAGGAAGGUGGCUAGCUGAAG